AAUAUUGGACAAUGGGGGGAACCCUGAACCAGCGAUGCCGCGUGUGUGAAAAAGGUCUUCGGAUUGUAGAGCACUUUAAGUUGGGAGGAAGAGCUGUAGGCUAAUACAUUGCAAUUUUGACGUUACUAACAGAAUAAGCACCGGCUAAAUUCGGGACAGCUGCCGCGGUAAUACGAAGGGUGCAAGCGUUAAUCGGAAUUACUGGGCGUAAAGCGCGCGUAGGUGGUUCGUUAAGUUGGAAGUGAAAGCCCCGGGCUUAACCUGGGAAUUGCUUUCAAAACUGACGAGCUAGAGUACGGUAGAGGGUAGUGGAAUUUCCUGUGUAGCGGUGAAAUGCGUAGAUAUAGGAAGGAACAUCAGUGGCGAAGGCGACCACCUGGGCUAAUACUGACACUGAGGUGCGAAAGCGUGGGGAGCAAACAGG
rnacentral:rRNA from 1 species